rnacentral:rRNA from 1 species
GGUUGGCUCAGAAGCAGCCAUCCUUUAAAGAGUGCGUAACAGCUCACUAGUCGAGUGACCCUGCGCCGAAAAUGUACCGGGGCUAAGCCUGAUACCGAAACUGCGGAUUGUAGGAAACUAUAGUGGUAGGGGAGCGUUGUAUACGAGCAGAAGCCGUACCGUGAGGAGCGGUGGAUUGUAUAGAAGUGAGAAUGCCGGUGUGAGUAGCGAGAUGUAGGUGAGAAUCCUACACACCGAAAGCCCAAGGAUUCCAGGGGAAGGUUCGUCCGCCCUGGGUAAGUCGGGACCUAACGCGAGGCCGAAAGGCGUAGUGGAUGGAAAGCAGGCGAAAGAUUCCUGCACCCGUAUAUGGAGCGAAGGAGUGACGGAGACGGAUAGUGUGACCCUCUUAAUGGAUUGAGGGCGAAGCGAAGCGGCUGGUUACCAGGCAAAUCCGGUAACCUCAAGGCUAGGGCGUGACAGGCAAGCGAAAUCCAAGGAAAGUAGCGAAGCACAUGAUGACGGCUUCCAGGAAAAGCUUCUGGCAAUGCAUAUGCGGCCCGUACCAAAACCGACACAGGUGGGCAGGGAGAGAAUCCCGAGGUGAGCGAGAGAACUGUUGCCAAGGAACUCGGCAAAAUGACUCCGUAAGUUAGCGAGAAGGAGUGCUUAAGCAAUUAAGCCGCAGUGAAGAGGCCCAAGCGACUGUUUAACUAAAACACAGCUCUCUGCGAAGUCGCAAGACGAAGUAUAGGGGGUGACACCUGCCCGGUGCUGGAAGGUUAAGAGGAUCUGUUAAGAGCGAUCUGAAGCAGUGAUCCGAAGCCCCAGUGAACGGCGGCCGUAACUAUAACGGUCCUAAGGUAGCGAAAUUCCUUGUCAGGUAAGUUCUGACCCGCACGAAAGGUGUAACGAUUUGGGCGCUGUCUCGGCAGCAGACUCGGUGAAAUCUUAGUACCUGUGAAAAUGCAGGUUACCCGCAACUAGACGGAAAGACCCCAUGGAGCUUUACUGCAGCCUGAUAUUGAAUUCUGGUCAUACAUGUACAGGAUAGGUGGGAGACAAAGAGACGUGCACGCCAGUGUACGAGGAGUCGGCGUUGGGAUACCACUCUUGUGUGACCGGGGUUCUAACCUGGUAUCGAGAACAGGUACGGGGAGAGUGUCAGGUGGGCAGUUUGACUGGGGCGGUCGCCUCCCAAAGAGUAACGGAGGCGCCCAAAGGUUCCCUCAGCGCGGCCAGAAAUCGCGCGCAGAGUGCAAAGGCAGAAGGGAGCUUGACUGCGAGUCAGACAAGACGAGCAGGGACGAAAGUCGGGCUUAGUGAUCCGGUGGCAUCCAAGUGGAAGGGCCAUCGCUCAACGGAUAAAAGCUACCCUGGGGAUAACAGGCUGAUCUCUCCCAAGAGUUCAUAUCGACGGGGAGGUUUGGCACCUCGAUGUCGGCUCAUCACAUCCUGGAGCUGGAGUAGGUUCCAAGGGUUGGGCUGUUCGCCCAUUAAAGUGGUACGCGAGCUGGGUUCAAAACGUCGUGAGACAGUUUGGUUCAUAUCCAUCGCGGGCGCAAGAAGUUUGAGGGAGGCUGCUCCUAGUACGAGAGGACCGGAGUGGACGGAUCAACGGUGUACCAGUUGUCACGCCAGUGGCACGGCUGGAAAGCCGCAUCCGGAAAGGAUAAACGCUGAAAGCAUCUAAGCGUGAAGCCCGUCCCGAGAUGAGACUUCU